UUCCUACGGGGGGCAGCAGUGGGGAAUAUUGCACAAUGGGGGGAACCCUGAUGCAGCAAUGCCGCGUGGGUGAAGAAGCACUCCGGUGCGUAAAGCCCUGUCAGCAGGGAAGAAAAUGACAGUACCUGGACAAGAAGCCCCGGCUAACUACGUGCCAGCAGCCGCGGUAAUACGGAGGAUGCGAGCGUUAUCCGGAUUUAUUGGGUUUAAAGGGUGCGCAGGCGGGAGAUCAAGUCAGCGGUAAAAUGUCGGGGCUCAACCCCGGCCGGCCGUUGAAACUGGUUUUCUAGAGUUGGAGAGAAGUA
rnacentral:rRNA from 1 species